GUGGGGAAUUUUGGACAAUGGGCGCAAGCCUGAUCCAGCAAUGCCGCGUGCAGGAAGAAGGCCUUCGGGUUGUAAACUGCUUUUGUACGGAACGAAACGGUCCUGGCUAAUACCUGGGGCUAAUGACGGUACCGUAAGAAUAAGCACCGGCUAACUACGUGCCAGCAGCCGCGGUAAUACGUAGGGUGCGAGCGUUAAUCGGAAUUACUGGGCGUAAAGCGUGCGCAGGCGGUGCUGUAAGACAGGCGUGAAAUCCCCGGGCUCAACCUGGGAAUUGCGCUUGUGACUGCAGUGCUGGAGUGCGGCAGAGGGGGAUGGAAUUCCGCGUGUAGCAGUGAAAUGCGUAGAUAUGCGGAGGAACACCGAUGGCGAAGGUAAUCCCCUGGGCCUGCACUGACGCUCAUGCACGAAAGCGUGGGGAGCAAACAGGAUUAGAAACCCUGGUAGUCC
rnacentral:rRNA from 1 species